GACGUAGGGGGCCAGCGUUGCUCGGAAUGACUGGGCGUAAAGGGCGCGUAGGCGGCUCAUACAGUCAGGCGUGAAAUUCCUGGGCUCAACCUGGGGACUGCGCUUGAGACGUGUGGGCUUGAGUGGGGAAGAGGGUCGUGGAAUUCCCAGUGUAGAGGUGAAAUUCGUAGAUAUUGGGAAGAACACCGGUGGCGAAGGCGGCGACCUGGUCCUUGACUGACGCUGAGGCGCGAAAGCGUGGGGAGCAAACAGG
rnacentral:rRNA from 1 species